GAUGAAGAACGUAGCGAAAUGCGAUAAGUAAUGUGAAUUGCAGAAUUCAGUGAAUCAUCGAAUCUUUGAACGCACAUUGCGCCCGCCAGUAUUCUGGCGGGCAUGCCUGUUCGAGCGUCAUUUCAACCAUCAAGCCCCCGGGCUUGUGUUGGGGACCUGCGGCUGCCGCAGGCCCUGAAAACCAGUGGCGGGCUCGCUAGUCACUCCGAGCGUAGUAGUUACAUCUCGCUCAGGGCGUGCUGCGGGUUCCGGCCGUUAAAAGCCUUUUACCCCAAGGUUGACCUCGGAUCAGGUAGGAAGACCCGCUGAACUUAAGCAUAUCAUAAGCGGAGGA
rnacentral:misc_RNA from 1 species